rnacentral:rRNA from 1 species
ACGAACGCUGGCGGCAGGCUUAACACAUGCAAGUCGAGCGAGGUUUUCGGACCUAGCGGCGGACGGGUGAGUAACGCGUGGGAACGUGCCCUUCUCUACGGAAUAGCCCCGGGAAACUGGGAGUAAUACCGUAUACGCCCUUUGGGGGAAAGAUUUAUCGGAGAAGGAUCGGCCCGCGUUGGAUUAGGUAGUUGGUGGGGUAAUGGCCUACCAAGCCGACGAUCCAUAGCUG